GCCUCCCUUGUUUGGUGGAGGCAAUGGGAGUGCCCCAUUGGCGAAAUUGGGAAUGUCAUCUUCGUAUUCGCCAUGUCUAUAUGGCUCCUUGCAUCCUGGACAUAAGCCGGCGGCCUUCUGAGCGUCUAGGUAACAAUCUCUGCAUAUCUUGAACCUAUAUUGUGCCACCAAAAAUACAUUUUACGUAGACAAUUUUGUAAGUAGUAAUGAAACAUUGCUCUCAUUGAUAUCUCAUGUUUUUUAGAUCUGAAUCAUCAUAUAUACAUACGUACCUGCAUUCACAGGGUAUGAUGUCGUUGCCACGAGCAUCCUUCAUGACUUUGCCAUCACAUGAAGGCAUAGCGCAAGAAGAGCCCCUGGAUCCUGCCAUCUGAGGGUGAGACACAUC
rnacentral:lncRNA from 1 species